rnacentral:rRNA from 1 species
UACAGAGGUCUCAAGCGUUGUUCGGAUUCAUUGGGCGUAAAGGGCGCGUAGGCGGUGCGGUAAGUCCCGUUGUGAAAGUCAGGGGCUCAACCCUUGAAUGCCGGCGGAUACUGUCGGGCUAGAGUCCGGAAGAGGCGAGUGGAAUUCCCCGGUGUAGCGGUGAAAUGCGCAGAUAUCGGGAGGAACACCAAUGGCGAAGGCAGCUUGCUGGGACGGUACUGACGCUGAGGCGCGAAAGCGUGGGGAGCAAACAGG